GCCAAACAUUGUGGUGCAUGCUUGUAAUCCCAGUGACUUGGGAGGCUGAGGCAGGAGGAUCUUAAGUUUGAGCCUAGCCUCAGCAAUUUAGCAAGAUCCUGUCUCAA
rnacentral:sRNA from 1 species